AGUGAAAUUGCUGGAUCAUAUGGCAAUUCUAUUUAUAAUUUUUUGAGAAACUGCCAUACUAUUUACCUUAGCAACUGUACCAUUUCACAGUCCCACCAGCAAC
rnacentral:pre_miRNA from 1 species